rnacentral:rRNA from 1 species
GAUGAACGCUAGCGGCAGGCUUAAUACAUGCAAGUCGAGGGGCAGCAUGACUGUAGCAAUACAGUUGAUGGCGACCGGCAAACGGGUGCGGAACACGUACAGAACCUUCCUUCGAGCGGGGAAUAGCCCAGAGAAAUUUGGAUUAAUACCCCAUAGUACAACGGAGUGGCAUCACUUUGUUGUUAAAGAUUUAUCACUUGAAGAUGGCUGUGCGGCUGAUUAGGUAGUUGGCGGGGUAACGGCCCACCAAGCCUGCGAUCAGUAACUGGUGUGAGAGCACGACCAGUCACACGGGCACUGAGACACGGGCCCGACUCCUACGGGAGGCAGCAGUAAGGAAUAUUGGUCAAUGGACGAAAGUCUGAACCAGCCAUGCCGCGUGGAGGAUGAAGGUCCUCUGGAUUGUAAACUUCUUUUAUAUGGGACGAAAAAAGGGUUUUCUAACUCGUCUGACGGUACCAUAUGAAUAAGCACCGGCUAACUCCGUGCCAGCAGCCGCCGUAAUAC